rnacentral:pre_miRNA from 1 species
AAUAAGAUCAUUUUUCAGUUUUUUAUAUAAUGUUUUGACUAUUCGUCUUAUUUAAAUUUUUUUAUGAUUAAUAUUUUUAUUCUUGCCAGAUAAAACAUGAAUAUUACUUUAUGCGUGACUAAUUUUUUUAAAUUUUUAUUCAAAUUUUUCAAAUAAACGAAUGAUCAACCAUUGGACAUAGAAAAAC